AGGAUGUACAUGGGAGCCUGACUUACAGGUCUUCGGUCUUUCCCUAUUUUAGGUCUUUUAAAGGAUUUUUUUUUUCAAAUCUUUGUCUAUCUGUUCCGUUUGUAUGUGGUGUGAAUGCAUGUUGGGGAAGACAUGAAGAGACUAGAAAAAUAUACAAUCCCUACUCAGAGCAGAAAAAAAUGAAUUUUCUCCACAGAGAACAAAGAAAGUAGUUUCCUUAGCGAGCCCUAAUACGGGGCUUGGAACACAGGAGCAUUCACUAAGCUCCGGAUAACCUGAGUCUUGAAUUUAUUAUUAUUGUUGUUAUUAUUAUUAUUAUUAUUAUUAUUAUUAUUAUUAUUGUGUUAGUCUGUGGGAAAGGGCAAGGGGAACCUGUCUUGUUUGACUAGAAAUGAGCUCUUCCUCUCUGUUUCGAUCUGUCCCUCACUUUCUCUUACAUCUAUUUCUUCCUUAUGGGCAUUUUCUUUAUUUCUCCCGCUUGUCUUUCCUCUUUUUUCUGGACUUUUUUUUUCUUUUAUGCUCUCUCCUCCCUUCUUUCAUUUUCCUUAUUAUUCACUCUUUGUCUCUACAUCUCUUCAUUUUUUCACUUUGUCCAUCCCUGUCUCUGUCUCUCUGUCAGUCUCCCUCUUUUUCCAUCUUACUCCUUCCCUCCUCAUAUCUCCCCAUAUCCUUUGUUUCUCUGGUUUUUUUUCCAUUCAAAGUCAUUUUUCUUUCUCCUGUUUUUGAAGUUAUACCCUAGACAUUUUCUUGGUGUCUUCAGUGACAACACAGGGUCCCAAACAAGUUUCUCCCGCAGUCAUCACUCUCACUCUCCCAGAGUCAUCGAAGUCCAGUGGCAAGACAAAUGAGGCCUGGAGAUGACCAGAACUUAGUGGAUGAACUUGAGGUCUUCCGUGUCUAACCAAGCUCUAAGAAUUCCAGAGGGCCUGCAUCAGCUGCCUUCGUGAUCAUUAGAACAAACUGUUCUCAUCUGCCCAUUCUUCUGGGGAAAGUCUUCCCACGCUUGGGGUAGACAUUCCCCUAACUCACUGAUGGGUUUGAGGCCCAUAGGUUCCCCUUAAUUUGGUUUAGCCCAUCUGCCAAGAUGGUUUUACUGGGGUUUGGUUGCUGUGCAUGCUAGAGCUUCUUGGAGCCACAGGUGAGAGUCGGGUGACAGGUGGACACCAAAGGUGGUUGAGUGUUCAUCACAACGUUAGCAUUAUCAUUGAGCAGAGAAAUCAUUGUGGAGAGGCAGGCCACCUUCCUCACCACCCCCAGCAACAACUGGGGGUUGCAAUUGCCAGCAAUAGGCAGAUGAACCCAGGAGAUCUGGGAGGGGCAAUCCCCCCCAGUCAGCAGUCCUGCUGCCAGUCCAGCCUUCAGCCAUCAUUCUGGGAAGCACUGCCUGUGGAAACAUAGCCUGGCAAUUGCUUCUGCAGGUGCUGCAGCUGCGCUAUUGAUAACCCAGAAAAGGAUGUUCUCACCACCAAAGUCUUUGGCACUGUCACAUGGUUCGACAUCAGCAAUUGGUAUCAUUUGGUAAGUUUGAAAUGACCUUAAAGAAGAGGCAUUCCUAUAUCCUUUGCUACUGUAAUCUAAGGACCAUGGAACCUUUCUACUGGAUUUGCAGCUGAAACCUUCCAUAGGUACUGGCUGAAGAGGUUGAUAAAUCAUUUUUUUCCCUUUCUGAGACUUAUUUAUAUCAGUUAUGUGUUAUUUCUCCCAUUGGAAUGGGAAUUCUUGGUAGCAGGUAUUAUAAAUUCCAUUUAUAUCACAGUACUCUGCGUGUAGUAUGCACUUAAUAAAUGGGUUUUUUUUUUCA
rnacentral:lncRNA from 1 species